rnacentral:rRNA from 1 species
AUUGAACGCUGGCGGCAUGCUUUACACAUGCAAGUCGAACGGUAACAGGCCGCAAGGUGCUGACGAGUGGCGAACGGGUGAGUAAUGCAUCGGAACGUGCCCAGUCGUGGGGGAUAACGCAGCGAAAGCUGCGCUAAUACCGCAUACGAUCUCUGGAUGAAAGCGGGGGACCGAAAGGCCUCGCGCGAUUGGAGCGGCCGAUGUCAGAUUAGGUAGUUGGUGGGGUAAAGGCCCACCAAGCCAACGAUCUGUAGCUGGUCUGAGAGGACGACCAGCCACACUGGGACUGAGACACGGCCCAGACUCCUACGGGAGGCAGCAGUAGGGAAUUUUGGACAAUGGGCGCAAGCCUGAUCCAGCAAUGCCGCGUGCAGGAAGAAGGCCUUCGGGUUGUAAACUGCUUUUGUACGGAACGAAACGGCUCUGGUUAAUACCUGGGGCUAAUGACGGUACCGUAAGAAUAAGCACCGGCUAACUACGUGCCAGCCGCCGCUGUAAGAC